rnacentral:rRNA from 1 species
AACGAACGCUGGCGGCGCGCCUAAUACAUGCAAGUCGAGCGAGAAGGUGUAGCAAUACACUUGUAAAGCGGCGAACGGGUGAGGAAUACAUGGGUAAUCUACCAUCGAGUGGGGAAUAACCAACCGAAAGGUUGGCUAAUACCGCGUACGCCUCCGAAUCUUCGGGUUCGGAGGGAAAGCUGCACUGUGAGUGUAGCGCUCUUUGAUGAGCUCAUGUCCUAUCAGCUUGUUGGUAGGGUAACGGCCUACCAAGGCUUUGACGGGUAGCUGGUCUGAGAGGACGAUCAGCCACACUGGCACUGCGACACGGGCCAGACUCCUACGGGAGGCAGCAGUAAGGAAUAUUGCGCAAUGGGCGAAAGCCUGACGCAGCGACGCCGCGUGGGGAUGAAGGUCUUCGGGUUGUAAAGCCCUUUUGCCGGGGACGAUGAUGACGGUACCCGGCGAAUAAGCACCGGCUAACUCCGUGCCAGCAGCCGCGGUAAUGCACGA